rnacentral:rRNA from 1 species
UAGGCGUCGACCGGCGCACGGGUGAGUAACGCGUAUCCAACCUGCCCACCACUUGGGGAUAACCUUGCGAAAGUAAGACUAAUACCCAAUGAUAUCUCUAGAAGACAUCUGAAAGAGAUUAAAGAUUUAUCGGUGAUGGAUGGGGAUGCGUCUGACUAGCUUGUUGGCGGGGUAACGGCCCACCAAGGCUACGAUCAGUAGGGGUUCUGAGAGGAAGGUCCCCCACAUUGGAACUGAGACACGGUCCAAACUCCUACGGGAGGCAGCAGUGAGGAAUAUUGGUCAAUGGACGAGAGUCUGAACCAGCCAAGUAGCGUGCAGGAUGACGGCCCUAUGGGUUGUAAACUGCUUUUAUAAGGGAAUAAAGUGAGCCUCGUGAGGCUUUUUGCAUGUACCUUAUGAAUAAGGACCGGCUAAUUCCGUGCCAGCAGCCGCGGUAAUACGGAAGGUCCGGGCGUUAUCCGGAUUUAUUGGGUUUAAAGGGAGCGUAGGCCGGAGAUUAAGCGUGUUGUGAAAUGUAGACGCUCAACGUCUGCACUGCAGCGCGAACUGGUUUCCUUGAGUACGCACAAAGUGGGCGGAAUUCGUGGUGUAGCGGUGAAAUGCUUAGAUAUCACGAAGAACUCCGAUUGCGAAGGCAGCUCACUGGAGCGCAACUGACGCUGAAGCUCGAAAGUGCGGGUAUCGAACAGGAUUAGAUACCCUGGUAGUCCGCACGGUAAACGAUGGAUGCCCGCUGUUGGUCUGAAUAGGUCAGCGGCCAAGC